UGGAUCACUUCUGCCAGUUUAAUGAUGGUCACUUAAGCUCUGACACAUGCUCUGUUUCCUACAGGUGGAAGGAACCAAAUUCCUAUCCAAGUUAGCAUCAACUGGAGGAGCAUUAACAGUUGCGUAGUUCUCUCUAUAUAAAAUAAGUCAUGUAAUCUUCAGGAUACCUCUCAGAGGUUCAAAUGUCUGUGAUUAUUUGAUGGACCAGUCAUCACCCCAUAAAAUCACAUAUAAUUACAUCUUAUUACACAGUUACUAUGUGCCAAUUCCUCUGUGAAGAGCUCCAGCUGCACUACUGCAUCACAUCCUCACACUAUCCCUAUAACAUAGACACUAUGGUUAUCCUGACUUGACAGACAAGAGAUAGAAGACUUUAGGGCCAAGUAGCUUAGGCAGAGUCACAUAAGUAGUAAAGUAAGGCUCAGACUCUAACCUGAGCAGUCAGACCCCAAAGUCUAUGGCCUAACUUCAAUUUAAAUUAUUUAAUCAACUAUUAGUUUUUAAUAAUUUCCAAUAUAUCCUCACUACUGGGAUACCCUAUAAGUAGACCCUGGGAAAAAGGUAGAAGUGGAAGUAUUGUAUUUGAUUGGGAAUCCCAGAAAAUGCCAAAAGGAAGGGGUAGGACAUUGAGGCAGGGAAGAGAAGGAGAAGAAUCAUAUAAGAUGUAUCUCUUAUUACCAAUAUGAGAGACUAGGGUUCAAUGGCAGUUAGAGAACUCUGGGAAAUACCAUGUAAAAUGUGUGCACAGGCAAGAGAGCUGGGGUAUUUUACACCAAUUCCUAGCAGUUAGAGAGGUCAAGGGUUGUUCACAAGGAAUAUGAGCAUGUGGACAGAGCGGGCUCUGGUGGCCAGAGAAAGCCCUUAGGCAAGGAGCUCUUCGGACUGGAGGUGGGAGCCAGUGAGCCUGCAUGGAAACUAAAGGCCUUGGAGAUCUCCUGGCAACCAUGAACUACUUUUUGUCUCUAUGGAUUUACCUUUCCUGGACAUUUUACAUAAAUGAAUCACACAAUAUGUGGUUGUCUACAUAAUUGAGAAAGUGCCUCUCAAAACGGCUAAGGUUGCAGAAAGGAAGUAAAAGCAAGAAAGAAAACCUGAUGGAAGGCAACAAGAAUAGGACAAUUGGCCAACCGGUCAACCAUGCCUUAAAUUUUGGACGCUGUUUGUAGCUGAACCACCACCCCCCACUCCUGCCAAUUAAAGGACACAAAGAAAGGGAACUGAGAAGAGAGACUGGGGGGCAGGGUAUUCAAAUCAUUGUCUUUAGUUCAAAAAGUGAGCCACAUGCUCUCAAGGACUGGAUAAGGAAGGUGUACUCAUGGUUGUGGUUCAGAAGCCUGAGAGCUUUGGUUUAAAAAUAGGCGAACUGAAAUAAACAUUGAGAGCAAGCUACUCAGAUGGCA